rnacentral:rRNA from 1 species
CCUACGGGAGGCUGCAGUGAGGAAUAUUGGUCAAUGGGCGCUAGCCUGAACCAGCCAAGUCGCGUGAAGGAUGACUGCCCUAUGGGUUGUAAACUUCUUUUGUCGGGGAGUAAAGUGCAGUAUGUAUACUUCUUUGCAUGUACCUUAUGAAUAAGGAUCGGCUAACUCCGUGCCAGCAGCCGCGGUAAUACGGAGGAUCCGAGCGUUAUCCGGAUUUAUUGGGUUUAAAGGGUGCGUAGGCGGGUUGUUAAGUCAGUUGUGAAAGUUUGCGGCUCAACCGCAAAAUUGCCGUUGAUACUGGAACCCUUGAGUACAGUAGAGGUAGGCGGAAUUCGUGGUGUAGCGGUGAAAUGCUUAGAUAUCACGAAGAACUCCGAUUGCGAAGGCAGCCUGCUGGAGCGCAACUGACGCUGAUGCUCGAAAGUGUGGGUAUCAAACAGGAUUAGAUACCCGUGUAGUC